rfam:Valsa mali var. pyri strain SXYL134 unplaced genomic scaffold scaffold00101, whole genome shotgun sequence.
GGUUCUAUAGUGUAGCUGGUUAUCACAUCGGAUUCUGAUUCCCUCAAUCAAUUCCGGUAACCUGGGUUCGAAUCCCAGUAGGACCU